rnacentral:rRNA from 1 species
AUGGAGGCCAGAGACGGCGGCUCAGCGCCCCUGCCGUGCUCCUACGCGCCGCUGCCGGAGGAUGCCGAGGCCGCCGCCACGGUGGGGCGUGCGCGCCGGACUGCUGGCCCGCUCUGUGCCGCCCUGCUGCUGGCGACGGCAGCCGUGCUCCUAGUGGUAGCCGCGCUCGCCGGCGUCAGACUCGCUGACCAGCUGCCUGUGGGUGGCAACAUGUCUGACCACCAGACGACGGUCGACGCCGCGCCGAUGAGCACCAGCAGCCGGGGGCCUGAGUCUGGCGUCUCGGAGAAGACGUCUGGCGCCGCCACGCACGGUGGCAUGCUUGGCGCGGACGCCGGCGGCAACGCGUUCCCGUGGAGCAAUGCCAUGCUCCAGUGGCAGCGCACAGGUUUCCACUUCCAGCCCGAGAAGAACUGGAUGAACGACCCCAACGGCCCCGUGUACUAUAAGGGGUGGUACCACCUCUUUUACCCGUACAACCCAGACGGCGCCAUCUGGGGCAACAAGAUUGCCUGGGGUCACGCCGCCUCCCGCGACCUCGUGCGUUGGCACCACCUCCCGGUCGCAAUGUCCCCUGACCAGUGGUACGACAUCAAUGGCGUCUGGUCGGGCUCUGCUACCGUCCUCCCCGACGGCCGCAUCGUCAUGCUCUACACCGGGUCCACCAACGCAUCGGUCCAGGUCCAAUGCCUCGCCUUCCCCACCGAUCCCUUCGAUCCUUUGCUCAUCAACUGGACCAAGUAUGAGAACAACCCGGUGAUGUACCCACCACCGGGUGUCGGGGAGAAGGACUUCAGGGACCCGACCACUGCAUGGUUUGACGGUUCGGACGACACUUGGCGGCUAGUCAUCGGCUCCAAGGAUGACCGCCAUGCCGGUAUGGUGAUGACCUACAAGACGAAGGAUUUCAUCAACUACGAGCUUGUCCCUGGGCUGCUUCACCGUGUGCCAGGUACGGGGAUGUGGGAGUGCAUCGACUUGUACCCCGUCGGUGGCGUGACGGGCAUCGACAUGACGGAGGCAGUGGCCGCGGCGUCCAACAACGGCGGCGGUGAUGUUUUGCACGUGAUGAAGGAGAGCUCCGAUGAUAAUCGACAUGACUACUACGCGCUCGGAAGGUACGACGCGGCGAAAAACACAUGGACGCCACUGGACACUAACGCCGAUGUCGGCAUUGGGCUGAGGUAUGACUGGGGAAAGUUCUAUGCAUCCAAGACGUUCUAUGAUCCGGCCAAGAAGCGGCGAGUGUUGUGGGGGUGGAUCGGUGAGACGGACUCCGAGCGUGCUGACGUCGCCAAGGGAUGGGCCUCCCUCCAGUCGAUCCCUCGGACGGUGGUACUGGACACCAAGACAGGGAGCAACAUCCUGCAAUGGCCGGUAGAGGAGGUGGAGACGCUCCGGACCAACUCCACCAACCUUGGCAGUGUUACCGUCGACCACGGCUCCGUAGUCCCACUCAGUCUUCACCGUGCCACCCAACUCGACAUCGAGGCCUCAUUCCGUAUUGACCCGCUCGACUUCGCCGCUGCGAAGGAGGCGGAUAUCGGCUACAACUGCAGCACCAGCGGUGGCACGACUGGACGGGGCACGCUUGGUCCCUUCGGCCUCCUUGUGCUCGCUGAUGCCAGGCGCCACGGUGGUGAUAUGGAGCGGACCGGCGUCUACUUCUACGUCGCGAGAGGCCUCGACGGCGGCCUGCGCACACACUUCUGUCAUGACGAGACACGCUCAUCUCAUGCCAACGAUAUUGUCAAGAGGGUCGUAGGCAAUAUUGUCCCCGUGCUCAAUGGCGAGGAGUUUUCGCUGAGGGUGCUAGUGGAUCAUUCCAUCGUUGAGAGCUUUGCGAUGGGCGGGAGGUUGACCGCGACAUCGCGGGUGUACCCGACGGAGGCCAUCUACGCGAACGCAGGCGUAUACCUCUUCAACAACGCCACCGGUGCACGGGUCACCACCACGAGCCUCGUCGUCCACGAGAUGGACUCCUCCUACAACCAGGCCUACAUGGCCUCACUGUAA